GCGCCCUUAGCUCAGCUGGAUAGAGCAUUACCCUUCUAAGGAGGUGGUCGAAGGUUCGAAUCCUUCAGGGCGUGCCA
rnacentral:tRNA from 1 species